rnacentral:rRNA from 1 species
GACGAACGCUGGCGGCGUGCUUAACACAUGCAAGUCGAACGGAAAGGCCCUGCUUUUGUGGGGUGCUCGAGUGGCGAACGGGUGAGUAACACGUGAGUAACCUGCCCUUGACUUUGGGAUAACUUCAGGAAACUGGGGCUAAUACCGGAUAGGAGCUCCUGCUGCAUGGUGGGGGUUGGAAAGUUUCGGCGGUUGGGGAUGGACUCGCGGCUUAUCAGCUUGUUGGUGGGGUAGUGGCUUACCAAGGCUUUGACGGGUAGCCGGCCUGAGAGGGGGACCGGGGACCGUGGGAGUGAGACAGGGACCAGAGUCCUAAGGGAGGCAGCAGUGGGGAACUGUGGACAAUGGGGGGGAGUCUGAGCCAGCGAGGCGGAGUGAGUGAAGAAGGCCGUCGGGUGGGAAAGCGCUUUUGUUAGGGAAGAAAUCCUCUGGGCUAAUACGACGGGGGGAUGACGGUAAUGGAAGAAUAAGCACCGGCUAACUACGUG